UGCCGCAUUAAACACUGCCCCUUUAAGACUGAAGAAGUUGUGAAUGCAUACAGGCAAAGCUUGGGGCCAGACGACUCCUGAAUGAGUCGUCACAUCAAUGUGACAUGAACGAGAAGUCCUGAACUGAUCCCUGCAAUGUCUUGAGUGGAGGCUGGUAUCCAGCAGCACACACCAGCUGCAAGAGCUGCUUGUUCUUCUGAUAGUGGAUCUUGGCCUUUUCCUGCCGCUUCUCCUCAAGAGUGGCUGUCACUGCCUGGUACUUCUACCCAACCUCAUGAGCCAGAUGCCCCAGAACUUACGGUUUUUGCUGUUUGUUUCACCUCUUCUCUUUUCAAUGGAAACUCCAUGAAGGCAAAUCUUUCAGCUCACCCCAGGAAAAGCCCGGCAUGGACAACAGUGUCAACUAAGAAACAGCCCUCAGGAGCCACCGAGGAAACACAUGAAGCAAGGUCCCGACGUUGUCCAACAGGGUCACCUGGAAACUUUGAGAACCAUCUCCACACAGAUUCCAUGAGCUUCAACCCUACAAACAGAACUCUACAGACAGCUCUUAAAUCUUGUCUUUUCAACUGGGUAUACCCACUAGGCUUUGUAAAUAUUCCCAGUUCUCAUCUCUUACUUGAUAGUGUCCAAAGAGAGCCUCUUUCUCCUUAUACUGCCCCAGUUGUCAGAACUUUCAUUGCUUUUAUCUUUGCUUGUAAACCAGCCACUUCUCUCCUAAGCCCGUCUCUUCCCUACACUGUCAUACACUGGUGGCACAGUCACACCACGAUCCUUGCCAACACUUGGCUCGGUUGGUAUGAGGCUCUUUCAAGGACCUCUAAUGACAAACUGACCAAUUUGGUCACAGCUGGAUCACAUGACCCGUCUUCCCCUCCAUCAUCUGACUCAUCUGCUCACUGGUGUACUCCUAUAUGUCGGGCAACACCACCCACUUUUAAGUUUUAUUAGUGAUAGUACUAUAAGAAAAACGAAAGCUUUAAUCAUUUAACACAA